rnacentral:lncRNA from 1 species
CUUCUAAUGUGGGAAUGGCAGUAGGAAGAUUAUUUAAAGUAAUGUUAUAUUUCUCAGUACCAGGGCAUAGGACUUCAAAUUAUGAGUUUAAGAAAAUAUCAAAGAUAAUACAGUAAAAAUGAGUUAAAUAUUUUUUUUAAGGUAAGAAAAAAAUCACUGGACACAGUUAUGUACCCUACAAACUACUUCAAGCUACUGAGGAGGCUGAGAUAGGAGGAUCACAGGUUCGAGGCCAACCUGAGUCACUGAGACCCUGUCUUAAAAAGGGAUAGGGAUGCAGCUAAGUGGUAAAGCCCCUGGGUUCAGUCCUACUACCAUAAAAAAAAUGGGGGGGGGGGGGGGAUUAAGACAGAAAUAAGAACAAACACAUCAUUAAGUAUAAUAAAUGUGAUUAGUUAGAAGCUCCCAGUUACCUCAUGGUCUCAAAAUGAAUUCCAAAGUUUGAAAACAGGACAAAGGAUAUAUUGGGCAGAUAUAAGCAGAAAGCAAGGUUAACAGUGAAAGAGUCUGAAAUCCAUAAUUGGAGCAAAAUAAUAAUAAUCAAUAUACAUUGAAUACGAUGUAAAGUAUAUAAACCACACUUAAAUAUACAAGAGUUUGGCAAAACUGCAGACCAAUACUUUAUCUUUCAGAAUAUGGCAGAUCAAAUAGGCUAUAUGGGAAGACUUUUCCACUUGUUCCCUGUUCCUGGAAUGCCUUCCUUCAAAUGCAUAACUUACUUUCAUCCUUUCACUGAGGUCUCUAACCAGAUGUCACUAUCUAAAAGAGCUUUCCCUACUGUCCACCUGAAACACAGUAGUUUGCCAUACCUACUUAGUUUGCUGGAUUGCGUGACAUUUAAUAUAUCUCACAACAUAUAUUUGUUAAUUGUUAUCACUAGAACAUUGGCUCCAUGGUAACAAAGACCCGGAAUUAACAAAUCGGUUCCUUGAUCAAACUAGCCUCAAUUCAAG